ACAUUUACCCACAGAUACAGUCCUGAUAAAAAGUUUUAGACCACUUGAAAAAUUGCAAGAAAUCAUAUUUAGCAUGGCUGGAUCUUAACAAGGUUCCAAGUAGAGCUUCAACAUGCAACAAGAAGAAAUGGGAGUGAGACAAA